UUGGUCCUCUGAAGUUCUCUGCUUGUCCACAGAGCAGAUAUAGCAUGGGCAAUGACAGUGCAAGAUUCCCCAUAGUGUCUUUACAUUGGUCCCUCAACACGUAACUAGAGGUAUCAGUUCAAGAGGAUGAGAGAGUAGUUUGGUAAUUGCCACUUGUAGUGAUGGU
ensembl:misc_RNA